GGCGAGGUAGCUCAGCUGGUUAGAGCGCAUGAUUCAUAAUCAUGAGGUCGUGGGUUCAAGCCCCACUCUCGCUAC
rnacentral:tRNA from 1 species